rnacentral:tRNA from 11 species
GGCGCGUUAGCAAAGUGGUUAUGCAGAGGCCUGCAAAGCCUUAGACGCCGGUUCGAUUCCGGCACGCGCCUCCA